UACCAAGCUUUCAACUUCAUUUAUACAAAACGCAGCAAUGGAUCUCUUCAUACUUCUGGUGAUAUGUCUUUCUUGUUUGAUUCCUCUCUUUCUGUGGAAUUGUAACCAUGCCAGAGGGAAGCUGCCGCCUGGCCCGACUCCUCUCCCAAUCAUUGGAAAUAUUCUACAGAUAAAUACUAAGAAUGUCAGCAAAUCCCUAAGGAAGGCAACAGAGAGUUACGGCCCUGUGUUCACUGUGUAUUUCGGCAUGAAGCCCACGGUGGUGUUAUAUGGACAUGAAGCAGUGAAGGAAGCCCUGAUUGAUCAGAGUGAGGAGUUUUCUGGCAGAGGCAGUUUCCCAGUGGUGGACUUCAUCAACCGGGGAUUAGGAGUUGUUUUCAGCAGUGGAGAAACAUGGAAGCAAACCCGGCGUUUUUCCCUCACAGUUUUGCGGAAUAUGGGCAUGGGAAAGAGGACUAUCGAAGACAGAAUUCAAGAGGAAGCCUUGUGUCUGGUGGAAGCGUUAAAAAAAACCAAUGCAUCUCCCUGUGAUCCUACUUUUCUUCUGGGCUGUGCUCCCUGCAAUGUCAUCUGCUCCAUUAUUUUCCAGAAUCGUUUUGAGUAUGGCGAUAAAACAUUGUUAACCUUGAUAGAGUAUUUUCACGAAAACCUCCUAAUUUCAAGCACCCCCUGGAUACAGCUCUACAAUGCUUUCCCUCUUUUAAUACAUUACCUUCCAGGAAGUCAUCAUGUGUUAUUUAAAAACAUUGCUAAACAAUUUGAGUUUAUUAAGGAAAAAAUAAAAGAACACCAAGAAUCCCUGGACUUCAGUAACCCUCGGGACUUUAUUGAUUACUUCCUGAUCAAAAUAGAAAAGGAAAGACACAAUAAACAGCCCGAAUUUACCAUGGACAACCUGAUCAUUACCAUAUGGGAUUUGUUUAGUGCAGGAACAGAGACAACAAGCACCACCCUGAGAUAUGGACUCCUGAUGCUGCUGAAGUAUCCGGAAGUCACAGCUCAAGUCCAGGAAGAGAUUCACCGUGUGGUUGGCAGACACCGGAGCCCCUGCAUGCAGGACAGGAGCCGCAUGCCCUACACAGACGCUGUGGUGCACGAGAUCCAGAGAUACAUUGAUCUCGUCCCCAACAGUCUCCCACAUGCAGUGACUCAGGACAUUAAGUUCAGAGAAUACCUUAUUCCCAAGGGCACAACCAUAUUAACAUCUCUGACUUCCAUCCUGCACGAUGACAAAGAGUUUCCCAACCCAGAUCGCUUUGAUCCUGGCCACUUCCUGGAUAAAAGUGGCAACUUUAAGAAGAGUGACUACUUCGUGCCUUUCUCUGCAGGCAAGCAAGCUUCACUGUUAUCUCUACAUCAGGGGUCAGGGAGAUGAGGAAGGGCUUUGCAUGGAGACUACUCUGGGCUGAACAGAUUGUCAUUUGUAUGAGGCUAGGGGCAUCACUCCCAAAGCCCAGGUUAUUUCUCAUUGGAUUGGAGGCUUCCCUUGCCAAGACUGGCCCCAGAACCUACCACUGAAAGUCCUAAGAAGGGGUAGGGAGUAGAGUAGAUAGAGAGAGGGUAAGGGAAAUUUGAGUAUCUCCCCUCACUUUUUCAGGGUCCUGGGGAGAAACAAGAGACACACUCAAUAAGUCAUUCCAAAAUGACGAAAUCUAGAUCAUAUUUUGAAUUUUCUAGUCUGUUUGGGGAUUAGUGAUUAGUUAGUAAGUUUGUGGCUAAUUUUUAAAAUUUACUUUGUAUUUAUUUUCAGUAUAACAGUAUUCAUUAUUUUUGCACCACACCCAGUGCUCCAUGCAAUCCGUGCCCUCUCUAAUACCCACCACCUGGUACCCCAACCUCCCACCCACACCACCCCCGUCCCUUCAAAACCCUAGGGUUGUUUUUCAGAGUCCAUAGUGUCUCAUGGUUCACCUCCCCUUCCAACUGUGGCUAAUUUUUGAGUAUUUAAUGAUGAGACUGUUUUUCAGAGAUGUGGGCUUAGGAUUAAGGUAUAAUAGACCAGCAUGCAUCGGCCGGAAGAUGUUCCCUUCGUAGGUUGGAAGGGAUGAGGGAAGAAGGGCAUUACUGGAAGCCCAGUAGAACUUGAGGAAAGAAAGAGUGGAUGCUUCAACAGGAGGUGUGUCUGUAGCAGAGGCAUACAGCCACUGUCUAAACUGUAACCUGGCAGGAGGGAAUAGAUCCUCUGGCUUUGUCAGUAGCUAAUGCUCUGAAUUUAUUCAGAACCCAGAAGGGAACUAACUUCUUGCUUUAUGCAGUCCACAGAAAUCUGCUUCCUGAGCAUAGAGUAGACAUAAAAGACAAACCCAAAAUGGAGCUGGAAGGAGGGAAAAAUGGAGAAUAUGCAGGAGAAAUAUCCACAUUCUAGACAUUUAGACACAUUUAGAAUAUCCACAUUCUAAAGGAGAAAUGGGGGGAAAGGGGAGGGUGAAGGGCCUUUCCUGCAGAAGUAAUUGAAACAGAGGCAAAAAUGGGAGACUUGUUUCCGAAUGAAUAUAGAAGAAACAUAAAUAUCAAGCAACCCUUGCUAUUGUGGUCUCAGGAUUAUGGACCAUACCAAGAGGAUCUCAAAGCAGGAUACCUACUGAACUACUCCUUAUCUUUCUUCCUCUGUGCUGGGCCCAUUACUGCAUAAUGAGACUCCUUGAGAUUUCUGUUCAAGUCACAGGGCUUGCCGACCUGCUUUGCUCUGACACUGUGGGUAUCAUUACAAGAUCUGAGGCCUUACCUUAGGAGCUUAUGUUCCAGAAUGUGAGACAGAUGAUUCAGUAAAAUUUCAUCUGAAAUGUGCUGUUUUUGAAGCAUUAGCGAGUGUUGUCACAAAGAGAUGAACAAGUGAGUUAUAUACUCUGAGCACAUCAAAGAAGUUUACAUAGAAGAAAUGACCUCUGAGGUGGCUCUAGAAGGAUGUGGGAAGUAUCAACCAGCAGAGCAAAGAGGAAGGCUAUUUCAGUUGCGGAAUGACUGGAAUCUAGAUCACAUUUGAAAUUGCCAGUAUGUCAGGGGAUCAGGGAUUAGUUAGUAGGUUUGUGGCCAAUUUGUAAUAUUUCUUUUUUUCCUGACCCCUUAGUUCAGGAUGACGUAUAUACCUUGUUUGCCCGACUCUCUUUGGAAUUUCUGGGUCUAUGUGAAUUACUCCGUACGUAGGAAAUGAAAUUUGAUUUCCUUCUGUUAAUUUGUCUGGUGUCAGUCUGCUCCUUAGACCAGCCACAGGCACCUUGAAGGGGACAGGAAAUUCUUGUUCCCAACAAGGUGUGUCAGCUGGACUCUGCUCGCCCCACACAUUGCUGUAGCUGAGAGAUCCUUGGGACAUCUGACAGCUGGCACAAGGAAAGAGAGCUUGUGUUGGAGAAGGCCUGGCCCGCAUGGAGCUCUUUUUACUACUGACCAACAUUUUACAGCAUUUCACCUUGAAACCUCUGGUUAAUCCAAAGGACAUUGACACCACCCCCAUUGUCAAUGGGUUGGGCAGUGCACCGCCCGUCUUUAAGCUCUGUUUCGUCCCAGUCUGAAGAAAGGCCAGGCUGCCAGAUGGCAGAGCCACACUCUGGCCUCACCUGAAUAUGCCAGAUGCUUUCUGUCCUGUGUGUUAGCCACUGUCCACCUCUCCUUUCACAUCAGGGAGGGCAUUCCUGACCUUGUCUCUUCUCAUUGUCUUCAUCCUUUAAAAUUCAGUUCAAAUUUGCCCGCAUGAAACAAAACUCAGUCUUAGCUUCCAAUUAAAUUGUGUACCCAAUCCUGAGAUCUUAUGCUAUAUCUCAUCUGCAGUCUGUACCACGGUAAGAUACCUUAUUCAUAUCAUAUUUUCGUCUAUUAAAAAUUAUCCCACAAGUUAAAAGAAUUUUUAAAAAUAUAUGAUAUUCACUCAUUUCUAACCCCUAUGUCUUGAUAGUAUGGCAUGUGUAAUUUUUGGUUUUUUUCCCAGUGGUUAUUAAAAAAUAAAUGUGUGUGGUACACGUUUGUGUAGGGAUGCACGUGUAAGUAUGUACAUGCAGUGAGAAAACAGGAUGGUAAUUCCAGCCAGAGGCAAUAACACGUAUUUGUUGGUCUCUCUAAGGAUGCCCUUCCUGUUUUCCCUUACUGGUUAAACACACAGUUGGAGACACAUACAUACACAGACAUAGACAAAGAAGGCAAAGAAGAGGGAAAGAUAAUAUGUAUAUAUGGUUUUAUUCAAAUACAGAAAUAUGUGUUUUAUGUAUAUGUGUUGCACGUAUAAAUAAAUAAAUAAAUUUCUCUAUGAUAUACCUAUGA